UACGUAGGGUCCGAGCGUUUGUCCGGAAUUAUUGGGCGUAAAGAGCUCGUAGGUGGCUUGUCACGUCUGCCGUGAAAGCCCAUGGCUUAACUGUGGGUCUGCGGUGGAUACGGGGCUGGCUAGAGGUAGGUAGGGGAGAAUGGAAUUCCCGGUGUAGCGGUGAAAUGCGCAGAUAUCGGGAGGAACACCGGUGGCGAAGGCGGUUCUCUGGGCCUUACCUGACGCUGAGGAGCGAAAGCGUGGGGAGCAAACAGG
rnacentral:rRNA from 1 species